AGAGUUUGAUCCUGGCUCAGGAUGAAUGCUGGCGGCGUGCCUAACACAUGCAAGUCGAGCGGCAGCGCGAGUAGUUUACUACUUGGCGGCGAGCGGCGGACGGCUGAGUAACGCGUGGGAACAUGCCCCAAAGUGAGGAAUAACUGCCCGAAAGGGUAGCUAAUGCCGCAUAUGAUCUUCGGAUUAAAGGAUUUAUCCGCUUUGGGAGUGGCCUGCGUACGAUUAGAUAGUUGGUGAGGUAAAGGCUCACCAAGUCUACGAUCGUUAACUGGUCUGAGAGGAUGAUCAGUCAGACUGGAACUGAGACACGGUCCAGACUCCUACGGGAGGCAGCAGUGAGGAAUCUUCCACAAUGGGCGAAAGCCUGAUGGAGCAACGCCGCGUGCAGGAUGAAGGCCUUCGGGUCGUAAACUGCUUUUAUAAGUGAAGAAUAUGACGGUAACUUAUGAAUAAGCACCGGCUAACUACGUGCCAGCAGCCGCGGUCAUACGUAGGGUGCAAGCAUCCCGGAGUGACUGGGCGUAAAGAGUUGCGUAGGUGGUUUGUUAAGUAAAUAGUGAAAUCUGGGGGCUCAACCUCACAGACUAUUAUUUAAACUGGCAAACUCGAGAAUGGUAGAGGUAACUGGAAUUUCUAGUGUAGGAGUGAAAUCCGUAGAUAUUAGAAGGAACACCAAUGGCGUAGGCAGGUUACUGGACCAUUUCUGACACUGAGGCACGAAAGCGUGGGGAGCGAACCGGAUUAGAUACCCGGGUAGUCCACGCCGUAAACUAUGGAUACUAGCUGUUGGAGGUAUCGACCCCUUCAGUAGCGAAGCUAACGCGUUAAGUAUCCCGCCUGUGGAGUACGGUCGCAAGACUAAAACAUAAAGGAAUUGACGGGGACCCGCACAAGCGGUGGAGCGUGUUCUUUAAUUCGAUGAUAAACGAAGAACCUUACCAGGGCUUGACAUCCCUUGAAUUACUCCGAAAGGAGUGAGUGCUUUAUUGAGCAAGGUGACAGGUGUUGCAUGGCCGUCGUCAGCUCGUGUCGUGAGAUGUUUGGUUAAGUCCAUCAACGAGCGCAACCCUUGUGAUUAGUUGUAUUUUUCUAAUCAGACUGCCCCGGUAACGGGGAGGAAGGAGGGGAUGAUGUCAGGUCAGUAUUACCCUUACGCCCUGGGCUAGAAACGCGCUACAAUGGCUGGUACAAUGCGGAGCGAAGUCGCGAGAUGGAGCAAAUCGCAUCAAAGCCAGUCCCAGUUCGGAUUGUAGGCUGAAACUCGCCUGCAUGAAGUCGGAAUCGCUAGUAAUCGCAGAUCAGCAUGCUGCGGUGAAUACGUUCCCGGGUCUUGUACACACCGCCCGUCAAACCAUGAAAGUCACCAACACCCGAAGUCCGAUUCGUCGGCCUAAGGUGGGGGGGAUGAUUGGGGUUAAGUCGUAACAAGGUAACCGUA
rnacentral:rRNA from 1 species